AGAAAGGCCAGAGAGUGUAAUCAAGAUCGAAUACGACCAAACGGGGAAGAAGCUAGAAGAUCCCAAUAAGCCGCAUUGCCUCUUCUUUCACCUUCUCUUCUCCCAUUCUAUAUCGACCUCUGGAUAUUGAGAUUAAGAUUCUCGUG